rnacentral:misc_RNA from 1 species
UUUCCGUAGGUGAACCUGCGGAAGGAUCAUUACUGAGUUAGGGUCUUUAUGGCCCGACCUCCAACCCUUUGUUUAAUCUACCAUGUUGCUUUGGCAGGCCCGCUUAGAAAUGGGCCGCCGGAGACCUUUGAGUCUCUGGUCAGUGCCUGCCAGUAGCCUUUCUAAAUUCAUUUAUAACCGUGUCUGAAUAUACAAAGAAAAAUUAAAAUAAGACUUUCAACAACGGAUCUCUUGGUUCUG